GAUGAACGCUGGCGGCGUGCCUAAUACAUGCAAGUCGAGCGAAGCGGGGACGGGUGAGUAACACGUGGAUAACCUCCUAUCAGACUGGGAUAACUUCGGGAAACCGGAGCUAAACCGGAUACUUAUAGAUGGCUCCGCGCUGCAUUAGCUAGUUGGUAAGGUAACGGCUUACCAAGGCAACGAUGCAUAGCCGACCUGAGAGGGGGGUCAACCCCACUGGAACUGAGACACGGUCCAGACUCCGACAUGAUCAAUCGUGAUUAAAUCUUCCGCAAUGGGCGAAAGCCUGAGAGAGCAACGCCGCGUGAGUGAUGAAGUUCUUCGGAUCUUAAAACUCUGUUAUUAGGGAAGCGGUACCUAAUCAGAAAGCCACGGCUAACUACGUGCCAGCAGCCGCGGUAAUAC
rnacentral:rRNA from 1 species